UACGAAGGGGGCUAGCGUUGCUCGGAAUCACUGGGCGUAAAGGGUGCGUAGGCGGGUCUUUAAGUCAGGGGUGAAAUCCUGGAGCUCAACUCCAGAACUGCCUUUGAUACUGAGAAGCUUGAGUCCGGGAGAGGUGAGUGGAACUGCGAGUGUAGAGGUGAAAUUCGUAGAUAUUCGCAAGAACACCAGUGGCGAAGGCGGCUCACUGGCCCGGUACUGACGCUGAGAUGCGAAAGCGUGGGGAGCAAACAGG
rnacentral:rRNA from 1 species